UACGUAGGGAGCGAGCGUUGUCCGGAUUUAUUGGGCGUAAAGGGCGUGUAGGCGGCUUGUUAAGUCUGGAGUGAAAAUCCGGGGCUCAACCCCGGAACUGCUUCGGAUACUGGCGAGCUUGAGUGCUCUAGAGGGCAGUGGAAUUCCCGGUGUAGCAGUGAAAUGCGUAGAGAUCGGGAGGAACACCAGUGGCGAAGGCGACUGCCUGGGGAGUAACUGACGCUGAGGCGACGGAAAGCUGGGGGAGCAAACGGGG
rnacentral:rRNA from 1 species